rnacentral:misc_RNA from 1 species
GAACUCAAAGUCAAUCUCAUCAUGUGUUGGCCCUUGAGAAGACAACUGCCAAACAAAUAAUAUAACUAAGACCACCUUUGUUAUACACUAGUCAAAUUUAUAACCACAAUAACCUAUUUAAUAUGACGAAUUAAUAAAAAAUUAGCAUGUAAAUAAAAAUAGAUCCUAUAAAAUUAAAAGUAUUUACUCUUAAUUCUUUAUUUUAAGAACAUUUAGAAAAAAGUUGAUAACUGCAUUUACAUGGCAUUUUUUAUUGGCCAUCUAAUUAUUUUUUAUUAAUUAGAUUUUCAUUAAAAUUAAAUUAAAAAUUUCAAAAUUUUACAGAUGAUUUGAUGUUGAUA